rnacentral:rRNA from 1 species
AGGGUUUGAUCAUGGCUCAGGACGAACGCUGGCGGCGUGCUUAACACAUGCAAGUCACGGGGGCCCGCAAGGGUAACCGGCGAACGGGUGCGUAACACGUGAGCAAUCUGCCGUACACUGGGGGAUAGCCGGCCCAACGGCCGGGUAAUACCGCAUACGUUCUUUGCGUGGCAUCACGCGGAGAAGAAACCUCCGGGGGUGUACGAGGAGCUCGCGGCCUAUCAGGUAGUUGGUGGGGUCACGGCCUACCAAGCCAUUGACGGGUAGCUGAUCUGAGAGGAUGGCCAGCCACAUUGGGACUGAGAUACGGCCCAGACUCCUACGGGAGGCAGCAGUGGGGAAUAUUGCGCAAUGGCCGCAAGGCUGACGCAGCGACGCCGCGUGGGGGAUGAAGCAUUUCGGUGUGUAAACCCCUGUUGCUCGGGACGAACAACGAGUUUCGACUCGUCUGACGGUACCGGGUGAGGAAGCACCGGCUAACUCCGUGCCAGCAGCCGCGGUAAUACGGAGGGUGCGAGCGUUGUCCGGAAUCACUGGGCGUAAAGGGCGCGUAGGCGGUCUGCUAAGCGUGUGGUGAAAGCUCGGGGCUCAACCCCGAGUCGGCCAUGCGAACUGGUGGACUUGAGCACUGUAGAGGCAGGUGGAAUUCCGGGUGUAGCGGUGGAAUGCGUAGAGAUCCGGAAGAACACCGGUGGCGAAGGCGGCCUGCUGGGCAGUAGCUGACGCUGAGGCGCGACAGCGUGGGGAGCAAACAGGAUUAGAUACCCUGGUAGUCCGCGCCCUAAACGAUGUCAAACUGGUUGUUGGGAGAGAAAUCUUUCAGUAACGAAGCUAACGCGUGAAGUUGACCGCCUGGGGAGUACGGCCGCAGGGUUGAAACUCAAAGGAAUUGACGGGGGCCCGCACAAGCGGUGGAUGAUGUGGAUUAAUUCGAUGCAACGCGAAGAACCUUACCUGCUCUUGACAUGCCAGGAACCUUGGAGAGAUCUGAGGGUGCCCGAAAGGGAAUCUGGACACAGGUGCUGCAUGGCUGUCGUCAGCUCGUGUCGUGAGAUGUUGGGUUAAGUCCCGCAACGAGCGCAACCCUUAUCAUUAGUUGCUACGCAAGGGCACUUUAAUGAGACUGCCGGUGACAAACCGGAGGAAGGUGGGGAUGACGUCAAGUCCUCAUGGCCCUUAUGAGCAGGGCUUCACACGUCAUACAAUGGUCGGUACAGAGGGUUGCCAACCCGCGAGGGGGAGCCAAUCCCACACAGCCGAUCGUAGUCCGGAUCGCAGUCUGCAACUCGACUGCGUGAAGUCGGAAUCGCUAGUAAUCGCGGAUCAGCAUGUCGCGGUGAAUACGUUCCCGGGCCUUGUACACACCGCCCGUCACACCAUGGGAGUAGGUUGCUCCAGAAGUAGGUAGCCUAACCGCAAGGGGGGCGCUUACCACGGAGUGAUCCAUGACUGGGGUGAAGUCGUAACAAGGUAACCA